CGGAUAUGGCGGAAUUGGCAGACGCGCCAGACUUAGGAUCUGGUGUCCAGGACGUGGGGGUUCAAAUCCCUUUAUCCGC
rnacentral:tRNA from 1 species